rnacentral:rRNA from 1 species
GACGAACGCUGGCGGCGUGCCUAAUACAUGCAAGUUGAGCGCUGAAGGUUGGUACUUGUACCAACUGGAUGAGCAGCGAACGGGUGAGUAACGCGUGGGGAAUCUGCCUUUGAGCGGGGGACAACAUUUGGAAACGAAUGCUAAUACCGCAUAAAAACUUUAAACACAAGUUUUAAGUUUGAAAGAUGCAAUUGCAUCACUCAAAGAUGAUCCCGCGUUGUAUUAGCUAGUUGGUGAGGUAAAGGCUCACCAAGGCGAUGAUACAUAGCCGACCUGAGAGGGGGAUCGGCCACAAUGGGACUGGGAAACCGCCCAAACUCCUACGGGGGGCAGCAGUAGGGAAUCUUCGGCAAUGGACGGAAGUCUGACCGAGCAAAGCCGCGUGAGUGAAGAAGGUUUUCGGAUCGUAAAACUCUGUUGGUAGAGAAGAAAGUUGGGGAGAGUGGAAAGCUCAUCAAGUGACGGUAACUACCCAGAAAGGGACGGCUAACUACGUG